rnacentral:Y_RNA from 1 species
GGCUGGUCUGAAGAUAGCGAAGUAUCUCAACUGAUUGUUCACAGUUCGUUAAGGAUCUUACUCUUUGUUCUACAAUUCCCCCCUUCUCACUACUGCACUUGACUAAUAA